CUAUUUUUGUGUUUAGCUCUCGUCGCCUAGCGAUGUCUUGCCGCAAGAUAACAAAAAAAAAUCGGAAAGAUUUCAAUUAAUUUUACAAUAUUAAUGUGAUUGCUACUCGUAAUUAAUGUUCAGUUAAGAUUUAAUUUGGAUAAAGGAUACACGAUUGCUGUCAGUUGACACUUGGCAGCGAGUGCGUAGUCAAUGACACGGUCGAUAAUUACCCGCAGCUGAACUUGAAACUGUGCACGUUUAUCCCUCACGGAAAAAAUGUUCUAGUGAUUUAAAUGCAAAGCGAUGUUUGCACGAAGGUAGACGAGCGUACUGCCCACCUGACAGCCAAAUCGAGGCCCAUCAUUAAGUACUCUCUUCAAGCCUCGUUUGAAGAAGGACAUGUCGUAGCGCUCAGGAAACACCGUGGAGGGGAGUUCAUUCCAAAGCCGGAUGAUAGGUGGCAGAAAAGAUAUCUGGAAACGCAAUGUGGAUGAACCCAUUGGUCCCAGAUAGUAUGGAUAGUGUGUUUGUUAUCUAUGUAUUAAUAUUCAAUUGCAUUGUAAAUGAGAAGGUGGAUGUGAUUAAAAGCCAAUCUCCUUUGG